UACGUAGGGCGCAAGCGUUGUCCGGAAUUAUUGGGCGUAAAGAGCUCGUAGGCGGUCUGUCGCGUCUGUUGUGAAAACUCGAGGCUCAACCUCGGGCUUGCAGUGGAUACGGGCAGACUAGAGUGCGGUAGGGGAGACUGGAAUUCCUGGUGUAGCGGUGGAAUGCGCAGAUAUCUGGAGGAACACCGGUGGCGAAGGCGGCAUCCUGGACCGAGAUUGACGCUGAUGCGCGAAAGCCAGGGGAGCAAACGGG
rnacentral:rRNA from 1 species